rnacentral:misc_RNA from 1 species
GAUGAAGAACGUAGUGAAAUGCGAUAAGUAAUGUGAAUUGCAGAAUUCAGUGAAUCAUCGAAUCUUUGAACGCACCUUGCACCCUUUGGCAUUCUGAAGGGUAUGCUCGUUUGAGUGUCAUUGUACUCUCACACUCCCGAUCUUUGCAUUGGGAGCAGUGGACUUGGGUUUGCUGCUUCACCGUCGCUUACCUCAAAUAGGUUCGCGCAACUCUUGGUUGGACAUAGUACGGCGUGAUAAGUGUUCUUCGCCGGUGCCUCGCAAAGAGGGUGGCCGAUCGGGAUGUUGUGCUCCAAACCGUCUUCGGACAAUCUCUGACGACUUGACCUCAAAUCGAGUAAGACUACCCGCUGAACUUAAGCAUAUCAAUAAGCGGAGGA